rnacentral:RNase_P_RNA from 1 species
AGUCGGCCGGACGGCCGCGGUCCUUCGGGAUCGAGGAAAGUCCGGGCUCCACGGAGAUACGGUGCCGGAUAACGUCCGGCGGGGGCGACCCCAGGGACAGUGCCACAGAAAGCAAACCGCCGGCCCUCGUGGCCGGUCAGGGUGAAAGGGUGCGGUAAGAGCGCACCGCGCCUCCGGCAACGGAGGUGGCAGGGCAAACCCCACCGGGAGCAAGACCGAAUAGGGGCGAACGCGGCGGCUUGCCGCCGCAGGGCCGUCUCCGGCUCUCGCCCGGGUUGGUUGCUCGAGGCGGUCGGCAACGGCCGCCCCAGAGGAAUGGCCGUCACGUCGCGUGGUUCGCCGCGCGGCCCUACAGAACCCGGCUUACAGGCCGACUGG